GACAGAGGCCUCAAGCGUUAGGCGGAAUCACUGGGCUUAAAGCGUGUGUAGGCGGAUCGUUAAGUGUCUUGUGAAAUCCCACGGCUCACCCGUGGAACUGCUGGGCAUACUGGCGAUCUUGGGCCAACUAGGGGCAGCCGGAACAAGCGGUGGAGCGGUGAAAUGCGUAGAUAUCGCUUGGAACGCCGAAGGUGAAAACAGGUUGCUGGGGUUGUGCCGACGCUGAGACACGAAAGCCAGGGGAGCAAACGGG
rnacentral:rRNA from 1 species